GCCCGCUUCGCGGUCGCGCUGCCGGCGGGCCCCAGGCAACGCUCGGCUCGAGUGCUGAUGUCACAGCGAAGAACCUGAAGCCACCUGAGCGUACUCGUGUGCGGAGCCACGGGUGAAACCACCGCCCCAGGAGAAAGGGACGGAAGGACCCGACAGGAACGGGAACAGAUAAGGCAGAAGAGUUUACCCCUUCAAAAAUGUAACCAAACAGCUCAAUAUGACAACAUUAAAAUGGUGGGAUCCAAGAGGAGAGUGUUGAAGCUGGAUGUUGAUGAUCAGGACAACAAAUUUCCAGGCCUGCUCCCAAAAGAAUGUCAUGAUGGUGGGAACCAAAACUGGCGUAGUUGUUGGGUGGUAUCCAGUCCUGCUAUCACUGUUAAGCCCUAAGGAAAGCUAUAUAUCAGUUCUCACAGCCAACAAGCCUUCUCUCGGGAAUCUCUUGGAUCACAAGUCCCAAGAACAAGAUACAGGACUCUCUUUGAGGAAACCCCAAUUUUGUCCACAAACAGGAGGUUCUACUAGGAACAAUAAUAGUUCUGCUGAAAGAUUCAGAAGAAAAAUACACUCACGGCUCUCAAUAUCAUAUUAUAGACAUCAUAAGCACUGUAAUUGAUACUUGGUUUAUGGUUUACUCUUGUCCUGCUUUGGCUUCUAUGGAACUGUGUUCAGUAAAAUUUUGACUUCAUGUACAGUUAGAAUCCAUUCUCACCAACAGGAAAACCUAAUAUGCUUAAGAAAAUUGUUCUUCGAAUAUAUAAAAAAUAAAGUCAGAUGUAUCAAAGCCCUCAGUUUUUAUAAUUCUGUAGCAUUCAUAAAAAAGUAUUUUAAAAUUGGUAUCUGGUGGACACAUAGCAUUCAUGCUGCAAAAUAAACCCAGAACAUUUAAGAAGUAUCUCCAAAAUUAAUUCUCUUGUGUGAUGAUUUCAUUGAAAUGCAUUUCAAGUUUUAGAACAUUAUUGAAGGAACAGCCUCUUUUUCACUAGUGCUGUCCAUGUUUGGAGGACCCUAACAGUUCAAAAGCUUUUCUUAACUAGUUUCUGAUU